AUGGCUCACCAAGGCAACGACGGGUAGCCGGCCUGAGAGGGCGACCGGCCACACUGGGACUGAGACAAGGCCCAGACUCCUACGGGAGGCACCAGUGGGGAAUAUUGGGCAAUGGAGGAAACUCUGACCCAGCGACGCCGCGUGCGGGAUGAAGGCCUUCGGGUUGUAAACCGCUUUCAGUAGGGAAGAAGCGAAAGUGACGGUACCUACAAAANAAGCACCGGCUAACUAUGUGCCAGCAGCCGCGGUAAUACAUAGGGUGCAAGCGUUGUCCGGAAUUAUUGGGCGUAAAGAGCUCGUAGGUCGUUUGUUACGUCUGAUGUGAAAACCUGAGGCUCAACCUCAGGCCUGCAUUCGAUACGGGCUAGCUUGAGUAUGGUAGGGGAGACUGGAAUUCCU
rnacentral:rRNA from 1 species